rfam:Dictyostelium discoideum mitochondrial DNA, complete genome.
AUCCUUUUAGUUUAAUUCGGUAGAACAGUAGCCUUCUAAGCUAUUAAUGAAAGUUCGAGUCUUUCAGAGGAUA